CGCAUCUGUGCAUGCAGCAUAUCAAUAAGCGGAGGAAAAGAAACUAACAAGGAUUCCCCUAGUAACGGCGAGUGAAGCGGGAAGAGCUCAAAUUUGAAAUCUUAAAGGGUUUCCCUUUACGAAUUGUAGUUUAAAUGAAGUGUUUUCUGUUGAGGUUUUGGUAAAAGUUCUUUGGAAUAGGACAUCAUAGAGGGUGAGAAUCCCGUAUUUGACCUUUACUUUCAACUUUGUGAUACACUUUCAAAGAGUCGGAUUGUUUGGGAAUGCAUGUCCAAAAUGGGUGGUAAAUUUCAUCUAAAGCUAAAUAUUGGCGAGAGACCGAUAGCGAACAAGUACCGUGAGGGAAAGAUGAAAAGAACUUUGAAAAGAGAGUUAAACAGUACGUGAAAUUGUCAAAAGGGAAGCGUUUGACACCAGUGUUGUUUUUCUGAAAAUCAAUUAAAGAACUGUUUAUGCUAAGUUGUUUAGACUUUAUCAGCUAACUGUUUAGUUUUGAGCUUUUCUUUAAUGCACUUUUCAGUUAACAAGUCAACAUCAAUUUCUUUUGCUGUAAAAAAGCUUGAGGAAGGUGGCUUGAGAUUCGUCUUAAGUGUUUAUAGCCUCUUGCCUAUGCAGUCGGAGAGAUUGAGGUCUGCAGCGUAGAUCCUUCGGGGCUAAAUGCAUUUGUGCUAAGUUAUAGCAUUUUAUAGACAACUUGUUGACUAUGAUUUGUCUUGUAGCUUACUCGCUUAUGUUAUUUUACCUACGCUUAGGAUGUUGAGUCAUCACACAUCUCU
rnacentral:rRNA from 1 species